AUUAAAGUUGCUGCAGUUAAAAAGCUCGUAGUUGGAUUUCGGCGUGCGCUCAGGCUGGUCGGCCGUCAAGGUCUGUACCGUUUGGGUCACGCCCCACUGUAGGAUACUCACCGCUGUCCUUAACUGGGUGGCGGUCAAAGGGGGUGUGCAUGGGGGCAACUCUGUGCAUAUCUCUGGGGUUCCUACUCUUUUACUUUGAGCAAAUUAGAGUGUUCAAAGCAGGCAAUCGAGCCUUGAAUACUUCAGCAUGGGAUAAUGGAACAGGACUGGGGUCCUGAUUUCGUUGGUUUCUGGGAUCUCAGUAAUGAUUAAUAGGGAUAGUUGGGGGCAUUAGUAUUUAAUUGUCAGAGGUGAAAUUCUUGGAUUUAUGAAAGACUAACUUCUGCGAAAGCAUUUGCCAAGGAUGUUUUCAUUAAUCAAGAACGAAAGUUAGGGGAUCGAAGACGAUCAGAUACCGUCGUAGUCUUAACCAUAAACGAUGCCGACCAGCGAUUGGGAGACGUUACAUGGAUGACUCCCCCAGCAGCUUGCGAGAAAUCACAAGUCUUUGGGUUCCGGGGGGAGUAUGGUCGCAAGGCUGAAACUUAAAGGAAUUGACGGAAGGGCACCACCAGGAGUGGAGCCUGCGGCUUAAUUUGACACAACACGGGGAAACUUACCAGGUCCAGACAUAGUAAGGAUUGACAGAUUUGAGAGCUCUUUCUUGAUUCUAUGGGUGGUGGUGCGUGGCCGUUCUUAGUUGGUGGAGUGAUUUGUCUGGUUAAUUCCGUUAACGAACGAGACCUUAACCUGCUAAAUAUGUCACUGGUAGACUUCUGCCAAAACAGGUGGGUGUCUAGGGGAAAGUUUCGAUGGACUCCGACGCAUUCAUCUGUGGAUGACUACCAGGAUGUACUUCUUAGAGGGACUAUCUGUAUCAAAGCAGAUGGAAGUUUGAGGCAAUAACAGGUCUGUGAUGCCCUUAGAUGUUCUGGGCCGCACGCGCGCUACACUGACAAGUUCAACGAGUUUAACACCUUGCUCGAUAGGGCUGGGUAAUCUUUGAAAAACUUGUCGUGAUGGGGAUAGAUCAUUGUAAUUAUUGGUCUUCAACGAGGAAUUCCUAGUAAGCGUGAGUCAUCAGCUCGCGUUGAUUACGUCCCUGCCCUUUGUACACACCGCCCGUCGCUCCUACCGAUUGAAUGAUCCGGUGAAAUGUUGGGAGCUGGGGUCUUUUGGCGGCGGGGCAACUCGUCGUCAGGGAUUCUGCAAACUUCAUUAAACCUUAUCAUUUAGA
rnacentral:rRNA from 1 species